UACAGGGGGGGCAAGCGUUGUUCGGAAUUACUGGGCGUAAAGGGCUCGUAGGUGGCCAACUAAGUCGGACGUGAAAUCCCUCGGCUUAACCGGGGAACUGCGUCCGAUACUGGUUGGCUUGAGUUUGGGAGAGGGAUGCGGAAUUCCAGGUGUAGCGGUGAAAUGCGUAGAUAUCUGGAGGAACACCGGUGGCGAAGGCGGCAUCCUGGACCGAUACUGACGCUGAGGCGCGAAAGCUAGGGGAGCAAACGGG
rnacentral:rRNA from 1 species